GGGAAUCUACCGUGCCCUGCGGAAUAGCUCCGGGAAACUGGAAUUAAUACCGCAUACGCCCUACGGGGGAAAGAUUUAUCGGGGUAUGAUGAGCCCGCGUUGGAUUAGCUAGUUGGUGGGGUAAAGGCCUACCAAGGCGACGAUCCAUAGCUGGUCUGAGAGGAUGAUCAGCCACAUUGGGACUGAGACACGGCCCAAACUCCUACGGGAGGCAGCAGUGGGGAAUAUUGGACAAUGGGCGCAAGCCUGAUCCAGCCAUGCCGCGUGAGUGAUGAAGGCCUUAGGGUUGUAAAGCUCUUUCACCGGAGAAGAUAAUGACGGUAUCCGGAGAAGAAGCCCCGGCCAACUUCGUGCCAGCAGCCGCGGUAAUACGAAGGGGGCUAGCGUUGUUCGGAAUUACUGGGCGUAAAGCGCACGUAGGCGGAUAUUUAAGUCAGGGGUGAAAUCCCAGAGCUCAACUCUGGAACUGCCUUUGAUACUGGGUAUCUUGAGUAUGGAAGAGGUAAGUGGAAUUCCGAGU
rnacentral:rRNA from 1 species